rnacentral:rRNA from 1 species
UACGUAUGGUGCAAGCGUUAUCCGGAUUUACUGGGCGUAAAGGGAGCGCAGGCGGCGCGCCAAGUCUGAUGUGAAACCCCGGGGCUCAACCCCGGGCAUGCAUUGGAAACUGGCGGGCUGGAGUGCCGGAGAGGUAAGCGGAAUUCCUAGUGUAGCGGUGAAAUGCGUAGAUAUUAGGAGGAACACCGGUGGCGAAAGCGGCUCUCUGGUCUGUAACUGACGCUGAGGCUCGAAAGCGUGGGUAGCGAACAGG